rnacentral:rRNA from 1 species
UACGGAGGGUGCAAGCGUUGUUCGGAAUUAUUGGGCGUAAAGCGCGUGUAGGCGGCUUGGCAAGUCGGUUGUGAAAGCCCGGGGCCCAACCCCGGAAUUGCAGCCGAUACUGCCUCGCUAGAGUCCCGGAGAGGAAGGCAGAAUUCCCGGUGUAGGGGUGAAAUCCGUAGAUAUCGGGAGGAAUACCAGUGGCGAAGGCGGCCUUCUGGACGGUGACUGACGCUGAGACGCGAAAGCGUGGGGAGCAAACAGG